UGGGGAAUAUUGCACAAUGGGGGAAGACCCUGAUGCAGCGACGCCGCGUGAGUGAAGAAGUCAUUCGUGAUGUAAAGCUCUAUCAGCAGGGAAGAAAAUGACGGUACCUGACUAAGAAGCCCCGGCUAACUACGUGCCAGCAGCCGCGGUAAUACGUAGGGGCAGCGGUUAUCCGGAUUUACUGGGUGUAAAGGGAGCGUAGACGGAUCUGCAAGUCUGGAGUGAAAGCCCGGGGCUCAACCCCGGACGUGCUUUGGAAACUGUGGAUCUAGAGUGCCGGAGAGGUAAGCGGAAUUCCUAGUGUAGCGGUGAAAUGCGUAGAUAUUAGGAGGAACACCAGUGGCGAAGGCGGCUUACUGGACGGUAACUGACGUUGAGGCUCGAAAGCGUGGGGAGCAAACAGGAUUAGAUACC
rnacentral:rRNA from 1 species